UUUUACUUCUCCCUUGGGCUAACAAUGGGAAUAUCCCACAUCGACCAACUUGAAAACUUUUAACUCAUCAAAGAGCUGCCAAAUUUCAAGGCUGCUUAUCGAUCCAUUCAUUUUCUGCAGCAAUCUUCCCCAUCUUGUUAAAUGAACCGACUCCAGAUAAGCUCUUGAAAC